CAGUCGCCGCGGGAAUACGAAGGGGGCUAGCGUUGUUCGGAAUCACUGGGCGUAAAGGGUGCGUAGGCGGAUUCUUAAGUCAGGGGUGAAAUCCCGAGGCUCAACCUCGGAACUGCCUUUGAUACUGGGGAUCUUGAGUCCGGAAGAGGUGAGUGGAACUGCGAGUGUAGAGGUGAAAUUCGUAGAUAUUCGCAAGAACACCGGUGGCGAAGGCGGCUCACUGGUCCGGAACUGACGCUGAGGCUCGAAAGCGUGGGUAGCGAACAGGAUUAGAUACCCCAGUAGUCCCUGUCUCUUAUAC
rnacentral:rRNA from 1 species